GCUUCCCUCCUCAGAUCUGAACCAAAGCCAAGCAAAGCACCAUCACCUUCUGGAAAGUGCAGAAACUGCAAUCAAGAUCAACAAAGAAAAGCACCCUUCUCAUAGAUUCAUCUCUUUGGCGUUUAAGUGUUGGGGCGAGUCUACAAAACUCAGAUUCCUCAUUUAACUAGAUGUUCCAGGUCACGGCGAUAUUCUACUGAGGCAAUUUUCAAAAGACCAUAAAACCACCACAUCAAUUUAUGCUUGCAAGAUAUACACGUGAUAAAAGCACACAUUAAACCAUUGCCAGUUCAAACAACACUUCACAUGAAUUUGAAAGAAAGCCUAGACAAGAAGCAGAAUUGGAAGAGAAUAAUAAAAGCUAAAGUUUAUUGGGCACUUUCUCAUGCUCUAAGCCAUCAAAUAUCAGGGUAGUCAAAUGGACAAUGGAAAAAAACGCUGAGAGACUUGAGGUCCCUGAAGCCUCCCCACCUUCCCAGAACAGAUUCCCAGACAUCCAAUCAGCAUUCCAAAGCUGUCCUCCACCCACUGCAAGGCCUGGGCACAGAGAUGAGGCAAGAUGGUGUUGGCCACAUGCACUCUGGGGCAUCUAGGUGGGGCCUGGAGGCAGCCAACUCUAUUCCCCAGGAUGGCACGUUCAGUGGGCACCCUGAUCCAGGAGCUGAGUGCGUCUCAAAUGUGAGGGUUGCAAUCCUUCAGGGGUCUCAUCUGCUGCAGAUUCUGGUAGCAGGCCCAUGGGAAGGGGAUAUUGACUUUCCCUCCCUUGACAGGGACACAGUGUAUCAAUCCAGCACUAAUGCCACUAAUAGUAUGGACCACUGAGAGGUUGUAAUCUGCACUCGCUCCGUAAGUAUCCCAUUCCGUGGGAGCAUGACAAAUAGCACAGAGAAGUUGAGAAAAAAUAAAUUCUGAAAGAAAAGAAGUUUUGUGCCUUAGUACCUUUAAUGGCAGGCACUCUUUCCUGCUCUUUGAACUAUACACCCUAUGUUUUUACUUUUUAAUGAGUUUUGAAAAUUAUGUAGUUGCUUAUCUUAACUCCUAAUUACUGAGUCUGUUAAACAAGUUUGUUUAUAUAAUAGUUCUUGAGCAUGUAACAUAUGCCAAGAACUGAGAAAAAGGGAAACUGACAGGAAACCUGUGCUUGUCUAGGCUUUGAUAGGUGGUGGUGCACCUUGCUUUUGGCUUGCAAGGCAUGUUAAAAACAUUAAAAACUGCUGAUGACUUUGUAAAUUA